rnacentral:rRNA from 1 species
AUGAACGCUAGCGAUAGGCUUAACACAUGCAAGUCGAGGGGCAGCAUGGUCUUAGCUUGCUAAGACUGAUGGCGACCGGCGCACGGGUGCGUAACGCGUAUGCAACUUGCCUCACAGAGGGGGAUAACCCGUCGAAAGACGGACUAAUACCGCGUACACUCCAUCUUGGGCAUCCAAGGUAGAGGAAAUGAAAUUCGCUGUGAGAUAGGCAUGCGUCCCAUUAGCUAGUUGGUGAGGUAACGGCUCACCAAGGCGACGAUGGGUAGGGGAACUGAGAGGUUGAACCCCCACACUGGUACUGAGACACGGACCAGACUACUACGGGAGGCGGCAGUGAGGAAUAUUGGUCAAUGGGCGAGAGCCUGAACCAGCCAAGUCGCGUGAAGGAUGACUGUCUUAUGGAUUGUAAACUUCUUUUAUACGGGAAUAACAAGAGUCACGUGUGACUCCCUGCAUGUACCGUAUGAAUAAGCAUCGGCUAACUCCGUG